rnacentral:rRNA from 1 species
AUUGAACGCUGGCGGCAGGCCUAACACAUGCAAGUCGAACGAGUGGCGGACGGGUGAGUAAUGUCUGGGAAACUGCAUGAUGGAGGGGGAUAACUACUGGAAACGGUAGCUAAUACCGAAUACCCUCGGAUGUGCCCAGCUGGGAUUAGCUCGGAGGUGGGGUAACGGCUAACCUAGGCGACGGUCCCUCGCUGGUCUGAGAGGAUGAAAAGCCACACUGGAACUGAGAAACGGUCCAGACGCCUACGGGAGGCAGCAGUGGGGAAUAUUGCACAAUGGGCGCAAGCCUGAUGCAGCCAUGCCGCGUGUAUGAAGAAGGCCUUCGGGUUGUAAAGUACUUUCAGCGGGGAGGCGUUACCCGCAGAAGAAGCACCGGCUAACUCCGUGCCAGCCGCCGCGGUAAUAC